AACUAACCAAAAAGGCAUUAACAGUAUAACAUGGAACUUAACAGUAUCGGAGACCCAAAACGAAAUCAGUUUCUCACAGUACGUUACAUUCACACUAUCAUCUGCCCUGGGGUUGCUUUUAUGUUGCACUGCAUUAGCUGUCUGCCUCUGUAGCGUAUCAUUUUGUCUAAGCAAGAAGAACAAAACCAGAGACCGAACCUGGAAUCUGAGUAACAGCAGUAUCUUUAGCUGCGCAGAGUAUACUGUUCAGCUUGGAGAAAAGGAAGCAAUUCCUUCACAUUCCAAAGCUAAACCAACACGGAAGAGAAUUGGUAAGGAAGAUCAAGCGGCAUCUCAAAUCACCUUAAGAAAAAAAAGCAGAAGAGAAACCUCUGAAUUAAAUAACAAAUAAAGAGCAAGAUCCAGUUUACAAAAUGAUACAUUUGUACAGAUUUACAAGCUCAAAGACUUUUAUAUAUAUUUAUAUAUAAAUAUUUCUGCUUUUGAUUUUCUUUUUUAUAUUGUGGAAAUGUAAAUGAAUUAUUACAUUCUGCUAUGUUUUUUUUUUUUUAUUAU